rnacentral:tRNA from 1 species
CAACAAAUAUUUUAUAAAAUAUUAAUUUUGGGUAUUAAAGAUAUGGAAAUUAUCCAUUUUGUUGA